rnacentral:rRNA from 1 species
UGGGGAAUAUUGCGCAAUGGGCGAAAGCCUGACGCAGCGACGCCGCGUGUGGGAUGACGGCCUUCGGGUUGUAAACCACUGUCGCGAGGGACGAAGCUCUGACGGUACCUCGAAAGGAAGCACCGGCUAACUCUGUGCCAGCAGCCGCGGUAAUACAGAGGGUGCGAGCGUUGUCCGGAAUCACUGGGCGUAAAGGGCGCGUAGGUGGCCUGAUAAGUAGGGGGUGAAAUCUCGCGGCUCAACUGCGAGGCUGCCUCCUAAACUGUCGGGCUCGAGCAGAGUAGAGGCAGGUGGAAUUCCCGGUGUAGCGGUGGAAUGCGUAGAGAUCGGGAAGAACAUCGGUGGCGAAGGCGGCCUGCUGGGCUCUUGCUGACACUGAGGCGCGACAGCGUGGGGAGCAAACAG